AAUGAACGCUGGCGGCGUGGUUAAGACAUGCAAGUCGAACGGCUUUUUCAGUGUAGCAAUACAUUGGAAAAGCAGUGGCGAACGGGUGCGUAACACGUGAACAAUCUACUUCCAAGUGUGGAAUAGCCCGCCGAAAGGCGAAUUAAUACCGCAUACGGUUGCUCCUCGCAUGAGAGGCAUACCAAAGUCAGGGACCGCAAGGCCUGACGCUAGGAAAGGAGUUCGCGGCCUAUCAGCUAGUUGGCGAGGUAACGGCUCACCAAGGCUUCGACGGGUAGCCGGCCUGAGAGGGCGACCGGCCACACUGGGACUGAGAUACGGCCCAGACUCCUACGGGAGGCAGCAGUGGGGAAUAUUGCACAAUGGGCGAAAGCCUGAUGCAGCAACGCCGCGUGCGGGAUGACGGCC
rnacentral:rRNA from 1 species